rnacentral:rRNA from 1 species
AUUGAACGCUGGCGGCAGGCCUAACACAUGCAAGUCGAGCGGAUGAAGGGAGCUUGCUCCUGGAUUCAGCGGCGGACGGGUGAGUAAUGCCUAGGAAUCUGCCUGGUAGUGGGGGAUAACGUCCGGAAACGGGCGCUAAUACCGCAUACGUCCUGAGGGAGAAAGUGGGGGAUCUUCGGACCUCACGCUAUCAGAUGAGCCUAGGUCGGAUUAGCUAGUUGGUGGGGUAAAGGCCUACCAAGGCGACGAUCCGUAACUGGUCUGAGAGGAUGAUCAGUCACACUGGAACUGAGACACGGUCCAGACUCCUACGGGAGGCAGCAGUGGGGAAUAUUGGACAAUGGGCGCAAGUCUGAUCCAGCCAUGCCGCGUGUGUGAAGAAGGUCUUCGGAUUGUAAAGCACUUUAAGUUGGGAGGAAGGGCAGUAAGUUAAUACCUUGCUGUUUUGACGUUACCCACAGAAUAAGCACCGGCUAACUUCGUG